rnacentral:rRNA from 1 species
UUGACCUCAAAUCGGGUGAGACUACCCGCUGAACUUAAGCAUAUCAAUAAGCGGAGGAAAAGAAACUAACAAGGAUUCCCCUAGUAACUGCGAGUGAAGCGGGAAAAGCUCAAAUUUAAAAUCUGGUGGCCUUUGGUCAUCCGAGUUGUAAUUUAGAGAAGCGUCUUCCGCGCUGGACCGUGCACAAGUCUCCUGGAAUGGAGCGUCAUAGAGGGUGAGAAUCCCGUCUUUGGCACGGAUCCCGGUGCUUCUGUGAUGC